AUUGAACGCUGGCGGCAUGCCUUACACAUGCAAGUCGAACGGCAGCACGGGGCAACCUGGUGGCGAGUGGCGAACGGGUGAGUAAUGCAUCGGAACGUACCUUUCAGUGGGGGAUAACGUAGCGAAAGUUACGCUAAUACCGCAUAUUCUGUGAGCAGGAAAGCAGGGGAGCGCAAGAACUUGCGCUGAUUGAGCGGCUGAUGUCAGAUUAGCUAGUUGGUGAGGUAAAGGCUCACCAAGUCGACGAUCUGUAGCGGUUCUGAGAGGAUGAUCCGCCACACUGGAACUGAGACACGGUCCAGACUCCUACGGGAGGCAGCAGUGGGGAAUUUUGGACAAUGGGGGCAACCCUGAUCCAGCCAUGCCGCGUGAGUGAAGAAGGCCUUCGGGUUGUAAAGCUCUUUCGGCCGGGAAGAAAUCGCACGGGCUAAUACCCUGUGUGGAUGACGGUACCGGAAUAAGAAGCACCGGCUAACUACGUGCCAGCCGCCGCGGUAAAAC
rnacentral:rRNA from 1 species